GCCAAGAUAGCUCAGUCGGUAGAGCAAAAGACUGAAAAUCUUUGUGUCACCAGUUCAAAUCUGGUUCUUGGCA
rnacentral:tRNA from 1 species